rnacentral:rRNA from 1 species
CCCCACUGCUAUCGGGAUGGGACUAAGACAUGCUAGUCGAGCGUCUCCAAGCUAUGGAAGAGACGCGGCACACAGCUCAGUAACACGUGGCUAACCUGCCCUUGGGACAAGGACAACUCCGGGAAACUGGGGCUAAUCCCUGAUAGGUGAGAACUCCUGGAAUGGAUUCUCGCUCAAAGGACGUUUAGACCAUGCUUCUAGACGUCGCCCAAGGAGGGGGCCGCGACCGAUCAGGUUGUUGGUGAGGUAACGGCUCACCAAGCCUUUAACCGGUACGGGCCGUGAGAGCGGAAGCCCGGAGAUGGGCACUGAGACAAGGGCCCAGGCCCUACGGGGCGCAGCAGUCGCGAAAACUCCGCAAUACACGAAAGUGUGACGGGGCUAUCCCGAGUGCCAUCCGCUGAGGAUGGCUUUUCCCCAGUGUAUAAAGCUGGGGGAAUAAGGAGAGGGCAAGCCUGGUGUCAGCCGCCGCGGUAAUACCAGCUCUCCGAGUGGUGGGGAUGUUUAUUGGGCCUAAAGCAUUCGUAGCCUGCUUGGCAAGUCCUCCGUUAAAUCCAACGAUUCAAUCGUUGGGCUGCGGGGGAUACUGUCCGGCUAGGGGGCGGGAGAGGCCGACGGUAUCCCCGGGGUAGGGGUGAAAUCCUAUAAUCCCGGGAGGACCACCAGUGGCGAAGGCUGUCGGCUAGAACGCGCUCGACGGUGAGGGAUGAAAGCUGGGGGAGCGAACCGGAUUAGAUACCCGGGUAGUCCCAGCUGUAAACGAUGCAGGCUAGGUGUUGGCGCGGCUACGUGCCGCUCCAGUGCCGCAGGGAAGCCGUUAAGCCUGCCGCCUGGGAAGUACGGCCGCAAGGCUGAAACUUAAAGGAAUUGGCGGGGGAGCACCACAAGGUGUGAAGCUUGCGGUUU